rnacentral:lncRNA from 1 species
UUUUUUUUUUUUUUUUUUUUUUUUUUACAGAUAAUGGAGCAGGCACAGAGAGGCUACAUGAUACACUCAAGGUCACCCAGCUGGUCAAUGAUGGACCCAGACCACAUAUCUAGGCUGCCCCCCCACCACCGCCGCCCCAGAGACACGGCCUUUAACCACUGUGCUAUGUUGCUUCCUGAUGAACUCAGGUUGGGGUGGUGGGGAGCAGCAAAUCACCAGAAGGGGAGAAAUAAGGAGGUAAGUUAGGGAAAGGACAGGUUCUUUAUCUUGGGCUCACAACAAAUUCCAACAAGAGAGAUAAUACAAAAACACAGGGCCCUAUCUAACUCCCAGUGCCAUAUAAUUUAGAACUGGAAAAACUGCCUUAUUUUAAACGAUGGGCAAGCAGAAGCCAGAGAAACGCCUAUGUGCCCCCCGUUACAAAGAAAAGCGCCCAAAGGCACCUGCUUAAGACCGGUAGGUCCUCAGCCAGACCUUUCUUACAAUGGUAUAAAGAACCCCCAAGACAAUAUUUUACUAAACAAAACAACCCAGGUCAUUAAACUAUCGACUGCCUCAGGACAGGCCAGAAGCCCAGGGCCGGGGGUAGGCGAGGCUGCCUGAACCUAACCACAGACAGCCGUCCUCCAGGGGGCGCCAGAGUCAGUCCUUGUCUCUAAACACAGCCUUCUCACACACUUAGAAACACAAGAAACACAAAUGUAGCACUGUCUGGGCUGAAACGGACAGCUGUCUAACAGGAUGCCAUGGAUUUGGCACAAACAGAGGAUAAGGCCAGCUGGGGAAAUGUCUCGAUUCCAGAUACUGCUCAGCAGCUUUUGAGCAUCCCCUCUGUAAUAGCUGGGUCACAUCUGUAUUGUGUUCCCAUCUGGACACCUCAUUUUAGGAGUGAUAGUGACAAGUGUCCCAGGGAAGGGAAAUUAGCAAAUACCAACACUGCUGAGAAGACCUGUGGUUCCUCAGCCCAGAGAAGGCGAAUCACUAGGCUGAGAACCCCCUGCUCAAGUGGUUGCUCCAUCUGUAAAAUGAGAAGCAUCCUUCCCUGCCCCUGCCGCCCAAGACAGAUGAGGCAGAGCAGGGAAGGCUCUCUGCUCUACAGAUGCAGCCACAGCAGUUUUCUGGGCCAGGGUCAACCCUGCCAGGCCCGGGAGCCUGUGCUCUGUGGGGGCCUCAGGGCCCCUCAGAGGGAGCACAGAGCCUCCACUGUCCCCAGGUCCUGGUCCAAAGCCUUUGCCUGAGCGAUGAGGGCUCUGAGGUCCCAGAUCCCACAGCCAGGAAGAAACAGAAGUGGGCCCCAAACCCAGUCACCCAGUUCCCCUUCCAGCACUCUUAACAUCUGGCCUGCAGCCCCUCCAGCAGGAAGAGCCACUCUGACAAACACAUCUCGUCUUGCUGGCGACCCAGCAGCCGUCUGGCACGGCGACCCCCAAACAGUGACUCGCACACCUGCCAGGCGGUCAUCACCAGCUGGUCCUCCUCCCAUACACGCUGGGCGAGACCCGGAGGAGCUUCAGAGGCUGCGAGCCUGCGUGCUCUCUUCCAGCUGUUUCUCUCUAGCCAUGAACAGAAGUGCCGUUUCUCUCUCUAGGACCAUGGUAAUUGCUCUGGAAAUCUCAUCUUUGCCCCUGGCCAUCGGGACAAAAGAAGAAGGCUUACAGCCACGGAGCCAUCAACCAGACAGGGCUGUCAGAAGCCAGCAAGUGCCUUCUGCCCCUGUGUACAAUGCCCAGCGAGUCAUUCUAACAUGAGAGACUAUUAAAAUAGGAAAGCUGAGCUGCAGCUCUCAACACUGGGUCUUUCCUUGCCAGUCCCCAUCUUCGUUUCCCAAAAGAAGCACAAACAGAAAGGACCGUGGCAGGACCCGCCUCACAGAUCCAGUGCAACACUUCACAGCAGAGGCAACGGGUUCGUCCUCAACCGUUCAGAUGGUGACCUGGGGGGCCUCCCACUUAAGGGGUGUCUGGGGCUCCAGCACCUUCCUGCGGGGACCCCCAGCAGCCCCUCUCACCCCCACACAGCCCAUCCUCCAACGGCAGGGGCUUCGUUUCUUGACACCCCUUGCCUGGACCUUAGGCACUGGGAGCUCUGCGGAGGAAAACUCCCAGAAGAUGUUGAACGGGGAGUGCCUUCUGGACAAGGCAGUUUUGGGGGCCAGGGAUGAUAUUCAAGCCCUAACGUGUCCUAUCGGUGGGGCUGUGGAAAGCUGGAUUCUGACCACAGAGAUCGGAGAAGAGCGUUCCUCAGCCAGACGCAGCAGACACCUGCCUGGCAUGACUUGGGCAGGAGCUGCCCAGAGCAGGGUCCCCCAACGGCCACACCUGCUCCUUCCCCAUCCUGCACCUGGCUUAUGUUCACUUCACAUGCACGCGAUCCAUCACCGCGGUCAGUCCUCAGAACCACCACGGCGGUUAGAAUGCUCCCAUUUCACAGACGAGAAAAUAGAGGCCCCAAAGCUGAAGGGAAAUGCCCAAAGCCAUACAGCCGAGAAGAUACAGAACUGACACGUGAACUCCAGCCUUGCUUCUCCAAGGUCAGCACCUCCCUCCCACCAUGUCAUAGCCGUGGAGCUUACAUAACCGGGGUGACACACCUUCUCAAACUCUAUUUCAGAAUCAAGAUCUGGCCUAAAAUACGCCAGGCUCAAUCCCCAGCGCCUCCCACAGCUUUGCUAAUCUUGUAAUUAUUACUCAUUUAUGCUCACUCUCCACGGCGCUCUCAACCAAAAGUUUUAUUAUGCAUUAAUAUGUUUCAGUGCCACGAAUAUGUAUGUUUCAAUUCCACAGGUAUUUAUAGGCACCAAAGAAGUUUAGUUGCCAUACAUUUAAACGGAGGGUUGCUUCUUCUUUCAAUAAACCCAUUUAUUCAAUUGCCUGUUCAUUCAAAUACAUUUACUGAGAGUCUAGUGGGUACAUGAUACUGUCCUAGGUUCUGGGGAUACAACAGUGAUCAGGACAGAGCAAGUCUCCGCCAAGACAGAACUUAUACUCCAGCAGAUCGGACAGAGUAAGCAAGAAAAUACGUAAAUAAGACAACUUCAGGUAAUAAUUGCUACGAAGAAAACAGAAGAGGCAACUAGAGGGCAGCAGAAGGUGACGUUUGACCUGAUAGCUGAGAAGAAGCCAGCCCUAGAAAAACCAAGUGGAAGAACGUUCCAGGCAGAAGAAAGACCAAGUGCAAAGUUCCUAUGGCAGCCAUGACCUUGGCCAGUGUCAACAGGGCUUAGAGAGCUCAGGGAAAGCAGUGGAAGAUGAAGCAAAAGCCAAUUCACACACGCCCUUGGGCCAAGAGAAGAGGCUCGGAUUUGACUCUAGUUACACACAGAACGGGCCCCCAGAAUUUAGGAAUAAAAUCACUUUCAGAAUUAAACCGCUAAAACCUACACACCGUGGAUCUAACGAGCCACCUGCUGGUACCUGCGGCGAGCACCCAAAGAACUGUGGAGCACCCCAAAACGAAUCAAGGUGGCUUUGGAGGCAGAGCCAGAACGAGUAAGCAGGAAGCGGCAGACCUAGCAUUUGAACCCAAGUUGGCCCGACUCCACAGCCUUGAGUCUUUCUCCACUCUGGGCUCGGGCGCAAAGUUUCGACAGAGAGCACACAUAAAGAUAAGAAGAAGGAAAAGGUGAAUCCAUGGCAACGGUUAACAGAAAGCGAGCUCUUACGCAGCACUUUCCUUGUGCGUACUUGAGGUGGGGACAUGCGGAAGGCGGCCCAGGGGUAGACGCCCAAACCUGCUGAGACAGAAGCCCAGCCUUUCUCUUUCUCUUCUUUCAGAUCAAGCCCCAAAGCAGGUCUUUAGUCAAAUAACAACUAACAGCACCCACCUCUGCAGCUCUUGGGCAUGCAGCACCACCCCCAGUAUCUGCAGGGUAUUGGUUCCAGGGCCCCCGAAGGACAUCAAAAUCUGCAGAUGCCCAAGCCCCUCAUGGCUGGCCACCCACAUCCACAGCUGCCGCAGCUGCAGGUUCAACCAACUUCGGAUGCAGAAAUGGGGAUAAGGGGGCUGAUGGCAUGUGUUUCACCUCCGUUUUCACAGCCCUGUGAGAAAGAUGGGGCAGAAGCCUGCGUUGCUGCUGAUGCCACCUUGCUCCAUCUGACCACGCUUUUCACCUCUACUACCACUGCCCACCUGGAAAUUCAUCCCUAUCUUUCGCAUCUGGAUCACACAUCAGCCCCGCUAAGAAGUCUCCCCUCCAUCCCUUUGCAGGCCACGUUAACCACUUCCUCUCAGCACAUCUCACUUACCACGCUCACCAUGAACACCCGACUCGGCUCCCCCACUAAACUGUGAGCAAAGCGAGGGCAGGGAUGUCGUUCCCUGCCAAACCGCCGCUGCCCAUCACAGCACGCAGUGCAGAGCAGACACGGGCUGAAUGCUUACAGACCAAUCCGCUGCUGGCCGGGAAAGGCUUUCUUGCCAGUGCUGAUGAAUGCCAAAGCGGGGCCCCAUGUGCACACCUCCAACCGGAUUUUUCAGCCACAAGGAAAAGCCAUGUAAUACCAGCCAGGUCAGGGCAAAAGGCAAUAGAGGCAUGAGAAGGAAAAUGCAGGGAAAGAUGCUGCAGAGAGAAGUCUGGACCAGGGGAACUGUAAAGAAGCUCAACACAGCAGGGCAAACGGAGGGGCAGGGACAGGCAGGAUUGGGCAGAAAACAGGGCAGAAGUGUCAGGUGAGUCGCCAGCGGUUCCUUAUGUGGGAGGCUGGGGCAGUGAGGACACUGCCUAGUUGAACGCCAAGUCUGAGCAGGGGCUAUGGGAAGACGGGGGCAGCUUUGCCAACUCAGCUUGGCUAACUGGUGGGACCCCAGUUCACCAAGAGGACCAGGGGUUUGAUGCUCCAUUCAGACCUAUGUGAGUGCCUGAUCAUUACAACCAGGGAGGCGACGGAACCUGAUGUGAGGACAGGCAAGGGGAAACAGGGCUGUCAGCCGCUCCAGAAAAAGCCUUUUAACAACCAUGGCCCUUCAUCUUUUAGGCACGAACAUGGCUUCUGCAGCAUUAGCGGGAUUCUUCUUCCUGUAAUUUCUGGGACUGCACGGCUACCUCCCUUUCCAAAUAUCCAAAUGCUGCCUUGACCGAGUGGGGAAUGGUUCUCUUGGGAGAAAGUGAAGGAGGAAGGGACUCUGGAAAGAGCAUGGAAUUUGAAGGGGGCCUGAUCUGGGCUCCAACCCUGAGUACUGAGCUGAGUGACUACUGGCCCGUUCGACUGUCCAAGGAGGGACACCACAGUAAGUGACAGACAUGAGAAGACUGGAAGAAGACAUCUGUGAUGUCAGCUUCUGGAAUAUACAAGGAUUUCUGAAGAACCAAUCAGAAAAGGAGAGAAAAUAUGGAAGAACAAUGGCAAAGCAUGUGAGACCAGAGGGGAAAUUCACAGGAGAGAAAACCCAAAUGGACUGAGAGAUCUACGAAUUUGCUGGUCAUUAGAGAAAUGCCAAAAUAAACGCAAUGGGAUACUAUGAAACUCCCAUGCUGUACACAUUAAAAAAUACUCAUGUAGGGAGUUCCCGUCGUGGCACAGCAGAAAUGAAUCCGACUAGGAACCAUGAGGUUGCAGGUUCGAUCCCCGGCCUCGCUCAGUGGGUUAAGGAUCCGGCGUUGCCGUGAGCUGUGGUGGAGGUCGCAGAUGUGGCUCAGAUCCCGUGUUGCUGUGGCUGUGGUGCAGGCCGGGAGCUACAGCUCUGAUUCGACUCCUAGUCUGGGGAUCUCCAUAGGCCACGGGUGCAGCCCUAAAAAAAAAGACCAAAAAAAAAAAGAUUUAAAUAAAUAAAUAAAUAAAUAAAUAAAUAAAUAAACCCGUGUUGGUGUUGGUGUUGGUGAGCACGGAGGGAAGCAGAUAUUUUCAUGCCCCGUUCACAGCCACCUGGCAGUUCUUGGUUUAAAUACGUGUUUAUCUUCCUUGUGACCCAGAGCAUUUACCCGCAGCUUUAAAUCCCGGAGAAACGUUCUGUAAGGGAUCUAGAAGAAGUUUAGGUAUUGUUUCUCGUGGCCUGGAAUUGAAGGCAACAAUCUAAUCUAAAUUCCUAAGAUUAGGGGAAAGGGGCAGGAGAGGUUAUGGCCAGAUGUGACUCCCCCUCGUAUACCACGCAGUCCUUAGAAGCCACGAACCAGCUACACCACAGCAUGGAGACAUCCUGGCAUGCAACAUGCCCAACGGAAGCGAAGAGAGCCAGGGAUGGACAACGUGGGGAGCCUCUUGCAUAGGAGGAAGCAGGUGUCCCAUCUAGCACGCUAGCGGAUGCGCUGAGCAGAGUUAGGGAAACCGGUUAUUCACCUUGUGUCUUCCCAGCUCUGCUUCUCCUUCCAAAGUCUCCCUUGACAAUGUUUCCCCUUCCUCCUGGGUGGGUCUAGAACCCCAGAAGAACUCCCCAAGCUCUCCGGGGUAGUUUAAACAUUCCUACCCAAAGGUGAGAGGUGAGAGAGAUGCGUUCCGUGAUUCUGGGGCAAGCUUAAGACUAGAGAAAGACAACCAUAAAAAACCUAAAUGUCCAUCAGCAGACAAAUGGAUAAAGAGGUUUUGGUGUGUGCACACACACACACACACACACACACAGACACACACACAGGAAUAUUACUCACCCAUAAAAAAUGAAAUAAUGCCAUUUGCAACAACACGGAUGCAACUAGAGAUUACUCACAGCAACGAAUAAGUCAGAAAUAGACACAUAUGAUAUCACUGACAUGUGGAACGUGAAAUAUGGCACAGACAAACCUAUUUGCAAAACAGAAACAGACUCACAGCCAUAGAGAACAGACUUGCAGUCGCCAAGGGUGGAGGAGGGAGAGGGAUGGACUGGGAGUUUGGGGUUAGUAGAUGCAGACUGUUACGUUUAGAAUGGACAAGCAGAGCACAGGGGAUUAUAACCAAUCUCCUGGGAUAAACCAUAAUGGAAAGGAAUAUAAAAAAGAAUGUAUUAUAUAUAUAUAUGUAUGUGUGUGUGUGUGUGUGUGUGUGUGUGUGUGUGUGUACAUAGUGAUAAUCAGGACAAAUGAAACCUUGGCUUGAAACCCCA